CACCUUGUAUGUGAGAAGCAGGAUUUUGAAUUCAAUUCUGAAUUGAACAGGAAGCCAAUGAAGGGAAGCCAGCAUUUUGGAUUAGCUGAAGGAUUUUCAGCGAGUUUUUGUUGUGUGACGGCUGUGUGCAGGCAGGAAUGGUGGACCUUCAGUGCAGACGCUCAGAGGCACAAUAACCAACUGAUUCUGCAGCAGAGCAUCCCCUGUUGCUUCUCCUGGCUUCCCAGUCCCUGACCUCCUGCUGCUGCACCCACAGG
ensembl:lncRNA